rnacentral:lncRNA from 1 species
CCAGGGAUGCUGAGAGAGCCUUUGACAAAAUCCAGUACCCCUUCAUGAAGCAAACAAAAAUCAACUACAACAGAACAAAAACCCUCAAGAACAUAGGAACUGAGCCCCUGGCCCACAGCCUGGUACCCUGGAGCUCCAUAAAUACCUGUUGAGUGAAUGAGAGGAUGAAGGCUUCUGCAGAGAGAGAGUGGAAGAAAAGUGGCGUCUUUUGACUUCGGACUUGGCUUUCCUUGCAGAGGCCUCAGGGAGGAACAACACGGAAACAAAGAUGGCCUUGUCCUGGGCCCUUCCCUCCCUGCCCCACUGUCCUCCUCUGCAUCCUACAGCAGCCUGGGGGGAGGUGGAAAUGGGCCCCUUUGUUCUGCUUCCAGAAUUCCACUCCCACUGGGUGGAGGCCUGGCUGCAGCCCCCUCCUUCCUCUGCCAGUUCUUCCUAAUCCUGAGCGACUCGCCAAAGCCUUGGAUCUUCACACCGUGGGUCUCGCUGUGAGGACGGGCCUAAGCUCACAGGUAGCCUCAGAGACAGAUACGGGUGCAGAGGGAAGAGGGGGUCCCCACCUGUUACCUCCCAGUCCUCUUCAUCAGUGUCCCCAGGACCUAUCACACAGGACAAAUGAAACUGGGAGACGCCGUCUAGAGUGGGAACCCAGGUGAACACUAAUCCAGUGUGGGCUGCAGACCUGUUUUUCCCUGGUCCCUGACAUGAGUAAAUUCAGAAAAUGAGGGUAAGUGCUUUGAGAUGUUAACAUGAUAGAGUACUUUACUUUUAUGACUAUUGAAUCAAAUAACUUUUCAAGGGUUUUAAUGGAUUAUCAGACCAUGGAAAGAUACAGGAAACUUGAAUGCAUAUUACUAAGUGAAAGAAGUCAGUCUGAAAAGGCUGUAUAGUAUCUGAUUCCAACUGUGUGACAUUCUGGAGAAAGCAAAACUAUGGAGACUGUCAAAGGACCAGUGGUUGUCAGGAGUUAGGGGAGAGAGGCAUGACUGGGUAGAGCACAGAGGAUUUUAGGGCAGUGGAACUACUCUGUAUACUACUACAGUGGUGGAUACAGGUCAUCAUGCAUUGUUCAAAUUCAUGGAAUGGACGACACCAAAGGUUAACUCCAGCCAGAAGUGCUGGUCUCUUACCCCUGCCCCAUUCUUAGCACUGGGCCUCAGUUUCCUUUCCUGCAAAUUGAGGGGGUAGCAUGAUCUGACCUACCCAAUUAGACAGUUCAGCAAAUGUCUGGUUCUUUUGACAAAUACAGGCAGCGUCUGGAAAUUAGGGGCCAUAGACUCCUCCUCCAAACCUCACCAUCAAGAUGCUCCAAUGAAAGCAGGUCUUGGGCAAUUCUGCCAGCCAGCCAUGCUCAUUGGCAAGGCUGCACAAAACAGUUUGUAAGCUUGGGGAAGUCCUAGCUGUCCUCAGAUUCUCAGAUACGUAGCUUGCUUGAAAGGUUGGGGUUCUGAAGGAGCAGCUUGAAUCUCAGUCCAUCCUGUGACAAUCUCACAAAGUGGGGACCAGAUUCUGAUGCCUCAUUGGGACAGAGGCAACAAUGACUAUGCAGUGCUCCUAGCUGGCCACAUGUUGUGAACAUUAUUUACUUCACCAGUGAAAACUUAUUUCAAACAUCCCUUAUGCUAAUUAAUCAACCCUCUGGUAUAAUUUUGAUAACCACAUUUGAAAUGCUUUGUUAAAACCACUGGACUAUGGAUUCCUAAGGAACUCCAAAGGCGAAACAGCUGCCCUCGCUAUAUAUGUUCAGUUAACCUAUGAGCAUGUGUAUCAUUAUUAAUGCUUAAGUAUUUAAAAGUAUAUUACUACCCAGAUGAACUAGGAAGGAGAUAAAUCACAUGACUUCUGAGUUCCCUCCCAUGCUAAAUAUAUGUAAAC